rnacentral:rRNA from 1 species
GAUGAACGCUGGCGGCGUGCUUAACACAUGCAAGUCGAACGGAAAGGCCCAAGCUUGCUUGGGUACUCGAGUGGCGAACGGGUGAGUAACACGUGGGUGAUCUGCCCUGCACUUCGGGAUAAGCCUGGGAAACUGGGUCUAAUACCGGAUAGGACCACUUCUUGGAUGUUGUGGUGGAAAGUUUUUCGGUGUGGGAUGAGCUCGCGGCCUAUCAGCUUGUUGGUGGGGUAAUGGCCUACCAAGGCGUCGACGGGUAGCCGGCCUGAGAGGGUGUACGGCCACAUUGGGACUGAGAUACGGCCCAGAAUCCUACGGGAGGCAGCAGUGGGGAAUAUUGCACAAUGGGCGCAAGCCUGAUGCAGCGACGCCGCGUGGGGGAUGACGGCCUUCGGGUUGUAAACUCCUUUCGCUAGGGACGAAGCUUAUUUUGUGACGGUACCUGGAGAAGAAGCACCGGCUAACUACGUG